CCGAAUAAUCCAGUCUUUAUAUACGAUCACUUCGAUCACUUCAUGAACCAUUUCCUCGAGAAAAGUAGUGGAUAGGGGGCGCUGAAUUAUUCGAGUUAGUACAUGGAGGAAAGGUCUGUUUCGAAUGUUAUUCAAAGAUUAGGAGCGACGAUUCAAUGUCCGUUUGUGUAUUGUAUUUGUCGUGGUUGAAACGGCACCAGGAACAUAUCAGGAUAGACAACAGAAGUUUGUAAGUAUUUAUUUUAUGUAUUUAUAUAUUAACAUAGAUAUUAUAAGCCUUUCAUGCCUUCUGUUGACAAAUUUUCAUAACUAUGCACUGUUUUAGUAGACCACAGAUGUCCUUUUCGAACUAAAAGAACCUCCCUGAAAAAACACACCUCAGUCGAAUCUUUCUUCUCAAAUGAAUGCCCGAAUGGUCAUCAAAUUAAUACUUGUUAUGGGCAGGCAUUUUCGAAUAAUUUUUAAAAAAAUGUAUUAAUUCUGACUGCAAGGAAUUUUAAAUGGUAAAUAAUAUACAUUGUAUCUCGAGGGAAAUGUACACACUUUAACAACAGUAAAUUUUUCAUAAAUAUUAUAUAAAAUAGUAAAAGUGUAGCAUAUAUAUCAUGUGUAUUAACGAUUAAACUCUGGAAGAAAUAUAGUCCAGCAUGAAUACAAAUUAAAGGGUCCUUUCAGGAAAAAAAAUUUCUCAGAAAGGUAUCUCUUUCUUCAGAGGUUUAUAUGACGACGUUGAUGUCUGUUGUGCAGUGAUUUGGGUUUUUUUUUCGCCUGUAUGCGAGACAUGGCAUGGUAGGUAUUGCAACCAAGCAACGGCGGCGACGAUGGUGUACACUAUUUGUUUGAAGCAUUAUAUUUUAUAAGUUAGACAAUCUAAAUGCUUCAUACCUUAUGUUACGAAAUUUCCGUCUGUCAUAUGUCAUUGUCCCGGCAACCUCAUUUUCAUGGUUCAGUAACUGCUUGAUACAUUUUGUUUUGUUAAAUGAAAAACUCACUUAUUAUGAGUAAUAUGAUAACUUUGUUUGGUAUAUGGGUUCCUAGCAACAUUUACAUGUUCGUCAGCUAGGUACAUGUAGGGUUAACCUGACCUCGACCUUAUUCCAUGGAUCAGUUAUCAAAAAUAAAGUAACUUAAGCAAGACCGUAUCUAGAUACUAUAACUAGUAAGUCAUCUAUAUUUGGUGUAUGGAUUAUUGAAAAUGAUUGUAAGGUGUACAUAUCCACCCGACAGGUUCCGUCUGACCUUGGCCUCAAUUUCAUGGUUCAUUGGCCAAUGUAUAGUGUUUGUGGUUUGGUCUAUUUCUCAGAUACUUUAAGCAGUAGGACCACUAUAUAGGGUGUAUCAUGUAUGGAAUCAUUGUCAGCUGGAAAUGUCCGUCUGACAGGUCUCAAUUGACUUCGACUUCAUUUUUAUGGUUCAUUGGACAAUUUUUAGUUGUGUCAUACAUUGUAGUUGUGCAUUGAUAAAGUUAAGUAUACCUGAUAAUUGUACUAAAGACUUUCAAUAUGAUUUCAAUGAUAAGUAAGACAAAGGCGAGACAUUUGCACUCAUAUUUUGGUAAUAAAAUGUGUAAAGUGUUGACUAAAGUACAUGUACCUAAAUUUCAAUAUAUUUUUGUAUCAGAGUGCUGAACGCGCAUCUUUAACGUUUUGAGAGGAAAAUGAAUAUUUUGUUGAAGGGAGAAUGUGUUGGGUACAUUACUCACAUUUUUACCUGAGGAAGCUGCUGUUCCUUUUGGAACAUGUCUUACUUGUUUUCUGGUAUGUUAAAUGGGAUAGGUAAAAGUAUUGUUAACACCAGUCCUGUGUUUUGUUUAAGACUUAAUGAAACCUGAUUUUAAUUGUUAUUUGUGUAUUCAGUUCGCUGUCUCCUAGGCAUGAACCACUCAUCUGUUUUAAGACUCUAUGAUUGAUUGAUUGAUUGAUCAUGACUGGCUGAAUGUCCAAUGGCAAAUAUUACAUGCAUAUUCAGGAAGUUGGGAAUGAUACAUGCCAAUCCUGAUAAAAAAUAUGAAAUAUGCCUGAAGAAAAAACAAUAACAGAGUAAGUGUUCCUGCAUUUUAAACUUUAAAUAUUUCUUGUAGAGUGAGAAAACUGUUAUGAAACACCAGCAAAAAGACUAGAUUGUUAUUCAGUCCUGACUUAUUCAGUGUCUCUGAAGAUGAAGAUUAGGUAUGUAAUAAUGAGGUUUUAAUUUGAUAGAUUGUUGACUUUUAAAUUGUAAAAGUUUAAUGAGUUACUGUAAGUUAAUCCAUUUAUUGUAUAAAUUAAAAUUCAAUAAUUACUGUUCAAGUGCAUAGCAUAGCCAUCUUUAUCUUGCUGUAUCCAGAGGCAAUAGAUAUAAGAAGAUGUGGUAUAGGUGCCAAUGAGACAACUCUCCAUCCAAGUCACAAUUUAUAAGAGUAAAUCAUUAUAGGUCAAAGUACGGACUUCAACACAGAGGAAGACUAUUAUUAAUUACAAUAAAAGAGAGUGAAUAAUAUUAUAUAAGCAAAAUGGACAUCAUAAGUAAGAUUAAAAGAAAGACAGACAAUUUCUUUAUCAAAGAUUAUAAAUUUUGGUAUGGUUACUAAAAAUAUUUGAAAUUGUUUUGAAUUUGUCGUUAUUUCUUUCAGAUCAGGCCUAUCCAGAAGCAAGAAAAAAGACAAUUUUUAGCACGUGCAUCUACAGAGAGAGACAUGUUUUAAAAAACAGAUAUAUUUUCAAUUUAAGAAAAACCUGUUGAACUUUUACUAUUUCUUAUCUGUUUAUUUUACAUUUAUAUAUUGAUAUUUUAUUUUUUUUUUUAAAUUGCUGCACAGUAUUUCUAUUCAGUCCCACAUAACAAAAUCAGCUGAAGAAAUUGAUGUUUUCAUAUUUCAAGGGAGUGUCCUUUUGCAUUGUUGAUAGCAGAUAUAUGCAUUGUCUUAAGUUGGGUUUAUAAACAGUCACAUCGCAACUUCAAAUAAAAUACAUUUUUAUGAAUCUUACAUGUAAAAUAGACAUGAAAGAUAGAAAAUUAUAUAGGAACACAUUUUUUUCUGACCUAAAUGUAUUUCAAGGUAAAAUUAUGUGAACAUAUCAAAUAUUAUCAAAAACACCGCUGGUUUAAAAUAAAAUUAUUCUAUGUAGCCUAAACAAAUCAUACAGAUCAGUGUAUUUUUUCCUAAACAAAUUUUAUAUAUUUUUAUAACCAGAAUAAAUUUAUUCUGUGUCUCAACCUUAACAUAAUUACUGUACUAUCAAAAUAAAUUUAUUUUAUAUAUCAUAAUACUUUUAAUCCACAUUGAAUGUAGAAUAAGUUUAUUCUGUGUCUCCACCUUAAUAUAAUAACUGUACUUUCAGAAUAAAUUUAUUUUAUAUAUUAUUAUACAAGACAAAAAUCACAUUGAACAUAGAAUAAUUUUAUUCUGUGUCUCAACCUCACCAUACAGAUUACU
rnacentral:lncRNA from 1 species